rnacentral:rRNA from 1 species
CGUAACAAGGUUUCCGUAGGUGAACCUGCGGAAGGAUCAUUACCUAGAGUUGUAGGCUUUGCCUGCUAUCUCUUACCCAUGUCUUUUGAGUACCUUCGUUUCCUCGGCGGGUCCGCCCGCCGAUUGGACAAUUUAAACCAUUUGCAGUUGCAAUCAGCGUCUGAAAAAACUUAAUAGUUACAACUUUCAACAACGGAUCUCUUGGUUCUGGCAUCGAUGAAGAACGCAGCGAAAUGCGAUAAGUAGUGUGAAUUGCAGAAUUCAGUGAAUCGUCGAAUCUUUGAACGCACAUUGCGCCCCUUGGUAUUCCAUGGGGCAUGCCUGUUCGAGCGUCAUUUGUACCUUCAAGCUCUGCUUGGUGUUGGGUGUUUGUCUCGCCUCUGCGCGCAGACUCGCCUCAAAACAAUUGGCAGCCGGCGUAUUGAUUUCGGAGCGCAGUACAUCUCGCGCUUUGCACUCAUAACGACGACGUCCAAAAGUACAUUUUUACACUCUUGACCUCGGAUCAGGUAGGGAUACCCGCUGAACUUA